UACGGAGGGUGCAAGCGUUAUCCGGAAUCACUGGGUUUAAAGGGUGCGUAGGCGGCUAUGUAAGUCAGUUGUGAAAUACCUCGGCUUUAACCGAAGGAAGUGCGAUUGAUACUGCGUAGCUUGAAUCAGGUUGAGGUAGGCGGAAUAUGUCAUGUAGCGGUGAAAUGCUUAGAUAUGACAUAGAACACCAAUUGCGAAGGCAGCUCACUACACAAUCAUUGACUCUGAGGCACGAAAAGCGUGGGGGAUCAAAACAGG
rnacentral:rRNA from 1 species